AUGCCCAACUGAUUUUUAAAUUUUUGUAGAGAUGGGGUCUCCCUUGCCCAGGCUGGUCUUGAACUCCUGGGCUCACCUCUGCCUCCUAAAGCGUGAGCCACCGAACUGGCCUGCCACCAACUUUUUUGCCAUCAAAGUCAAGGUCUGUCCACCCUGGGGGCUGUCUUGGGAUCCCCGGCAAGAGCUACUGUCCAGAGACCUUGGCAGAUGUUCCCCCUAAGCCCAGGAGAGGGCGCCCGACAUCAUGAAGCUCAGACGGGACAGCAUCUGCUCUGGGCCACUGUGGCUCAGGACUUACCUGUCUGGGCCAGCAGCUCUCAGCUCAGCUCUGGGCCACCCACCUCCCAGGGUCAGGCUGCCAGGAAGCUGUUCUAAAUCCUCUUCCCCCUCCCCCACAGUUCCAAGGAGUCAGCAGCGCUGUCCCAUCUCCCCCACCCCUUGGGCCUUUGGCCCCCUUAGGAGAGGGGCUGGGUGAGGGAUGCAGGGGGGCAGCAGCCAGCCCCCUCCUACUCACCCCACACCCUCCCCUGAGUCUCUCCCGAACCCCUCUCCCCGCAAAUCAGCUGUUACCAGCUGUUCAGACUGAGCAGCCAGGCCCUGGGCAGAGGCACUGUGCUCACUCCUCAGGCCUCAGUUCUUGGAUCCCCUCCUCUGUGACGUUUCUGUCCCAUGCUGCCCUGGCUGGGAGCAGAGACUGUGCCAAGGGUGAUUUGGUGGCAAGUUUCACGGGCCCUUCCCAAACCACCCCAGCAUGCAUGUGCUUGCCAUGGAGACAUGGCUCCCUAGCCCCUCCCCUUGCAGACAGACCUGCCACCCCCCAAGCCCUCCCAGGUGCAGGAGGAUUCCCCAGAGCCGGCCUCUCCCUGCUGGCUGGGGCUCUUCCCUGGUGCACUCUCCAGUGCCUGGCAACUAGUCGCUGCUCAGCAAAUGACCAUUUCCCCACAAAUUUUUAUUAAGAAAAAUUCCAAAUAUACAGAAAAGUUGAAAGAACAAGUACACUGUUCACUGAAAGACCAGCCACUGAAGAUUCAACAACGAACAUUUUUGCCUUAUUUGCUUUGUGUAUUUUUGAGGGGAACCACUUGGAAUUAAAUGACACAUUUCUUGAAGUCGUUCACCUACAUAAUUCAGCAUCUAUCUCCUAAGGACAAGGACAUUCUGCUGUAAACCUCAAUACCAUUACAUGGCUAUUAAAUGAGUGGCGUCAGUGAGGGCUCCUGGAACCCCACAGAAGCACGCUGGGCCUUGAGCUCAGUCAGUGUAACCCAGGCCCGGCUCCUCCUCCUCCUCUCAGGGGCAACACGGGAUCGGGAUCGUGGAGAGCUGUCUAGAUGGAGAAUGACAAACACCAGCUCCACCUGGGAAGCCCAGACACCCCCAGCUCUACCCUCACAUUGGCAGCUGGCAAGCUGGGUCCCAGUUCAGGGGACAGGGCAGCCAGCAGAGGGCUGCAGCACCCAGGUAGUAGCAGAGUCCCUGGGGGUGGACUGGAACAGCCAGCAUGGGCUGCAGCCCUGGCACUGCCAAAGCAGUGGGUUUAAGCCGCCAGGGUGGGCCCACAAAGCCUCCUUUUCCAGGUCCAGGGGUCAGGCAAGGAGAUCUCCUCCGGGCUGGGCCCUGCCUCGCCAGCUUUGCUGGUGGAAUUAAAUAUAGAACAGGGAGACACAGUUGCCAGGCAGGAGCAGGAGGUGCUGUGAAUAGAACAGUGCCCUUUGCAGUGACAAAACUAUGAGGGAGCCUGCUGUGCGUGUGCCAGGGCCUGCAGGGCAGAUCCCCCGACCCUCACAGUGACCUCUGAGCUAUGAGAUUUUGUCCCCAUUUCACAUGUGAGAAAUCUGAAGUUCAGAUGAAUGAAGCUGUUUCCCCAAGAUCAUUCUGCCAAGAAGCAGAAGAGCCCAAGCGCAGACAGUCUGGAGCCCACGUUCUUGCUGCCAACUCUCACGACGGCUUGGGGGCUCCGCCCCAGGCAGGUCCCACGCUGAGACCCAGGCUCAGAACGAACUCUUCUGUGUUUCUCCACACAGGCCAAGUGUGCCCGCCUGCCGUGGCUCACGCUUGCCCACUGCCUGCAACAAACGCCCUUGCGCAGAGUAGGUGCUUCCGGAAGCGUCUGCAGGAAGGUGAUUGCAGAGUGGAGGGUUGGUCCAGACCCCUGGGGUUGAAGCCUGAGAAGGGUCAAAGCAGAGGUGUGGAGGUGUCUCCCUCCAGAGCGGUCCUCGGUGACUGCAGGAGGCUCCGGGCGCCUGUCUGGCACAGGGAUGGAGGCCAGGCGUGCACUGCUGCUCCCUGCCCAGCCUGCUGUUUGCCAACUUCUGUGAGCUUGAGCGGCUGGUUCUGGUUCAAGGGCUCUGAGCUGGCUCAGCCCCAAACCAGGGCCUCUUCCUGGGCCUCAAUGAAGCAUGCCUGUGAGUCAGCACUGAGCUGCAAGCUGAGCAACAGGCAGGCUGGUGUGGGGGGAGCAGAGGCUGAGAGGAAGGGGGCUGGGCUGGUACCUGGAAGAACCCACAUCCUUGAAGCCUCCGGUGGCUUCAAGAUCUUUGCCCCUGCAGCUCUUUCCAGAAGUUUCAACACACCUACUCUGCGGAUGAUGGCAGAUUGGUUCCAUGAUGUCUGAGAGGGUCAGGAGGCUUGCAGGAUGCAUGCCUGACCUACCAUCUUCCUUCCACCCAGGAACGACCUUCUGAAAACCACUCUACACACCUGUAGCCCAAAGUAGUAGCCUGAAGGAAUGCUAAGGAGGACACUUGUGAUUGUUAAAUCCUCUGAACUGACCAGAACCAGAAGGAGAGGGGGGAAAAGAAACGGGACUGGAGGUGGCAAGAGAGUCCUCGAGGGGUUGUUCUUUUGGCAAAGAAGUCAAGAUAUCAGGAUCCCAAGGGGAGAAAAGUGCAAAACCAAGCCAGGAAAACGGAAAAAAAACCCAAGGUAGAGAGGUUGGUGGCGGAGAGGGCCGGUCAGGGCACCGGGCAAAGGAAGAGACUGUGUGCACUCGCCAGCACCGGGGCGCGGGCGGCGAGGACUGGCGUGUCCGUUUCUGUCACUGAGUGGGUGAUAGCUGGGCAGCAAACAGCAAUCUGUAAACAUCACGAGGGAAAACACCAGUCGACACUAGACUUUUUUUUUUUUAUAUAAUUUUUUUUUUUUGUAAACACUUUAAAGACAGACCCACAAUGCCUUUCAAAGGUGAAAAUGAAAAUGCCCUUUCCCUCCUGGGCUGAGGGGUGAGGGGAAGGAUA